UGAACGCUGGCGGCGUGCCUAAUACAUGCAAGUCGAGCGAACAGAUGAGGAGCUUGCUCCUCUGACGUUAGCGGCGGACGGGUGAGUAACACGUGGAUAACCUACCUAUAAGACUGGGAUAACUUCGGGAAACCGGAGCUAAUACCGGAUAAUAUAUUGAACCGCAUGGUUCAAUAGUGAAAGACGGUUUUGCUGUCACUUAUAGAUGGAUCCGCGCCGCAUUAGCUAGUUGGUAAGGUAACGGCUUACCAAGGCAACGAUGCGUAGCCGACCUGAGAGGGUGAUCGGCCACACUGGAACUGAGACACGGUCCAGACUCCUACGGGAGGCAGCAGUAGGGAAUCUUCCGCAAUGGGCGAAAGCCUGACGGAGCAACGCCGCGUGAGUGAUGAAGGUCUUCGGAUCGUAAAACUCUGUUAUUAGGGAAGAACAAAUGUGUAAGUAACUAUGCACGUCUUGACGGUACCUAAUCAGAAAGCCACGGCUAACUGCGUG
rnacentral:rRNA from 1 species